UCGUAACAAGGUUUCCGUAGGUGAACCUGCGGAAGGAUCAUUACCUAGAGUUUGUAGACUUCGGUCUGCUACCUCUUACCCAUGUCUUUUGAGUACCUUCGUUUCCUCGGCGGGUCCGCCCGCCGAUUGGACAACAUUCAAACCCUUUGCAGUUGCAAUCAGCGUCUGAAAAAACAUAAUAGUUACAACUUUCAACAACGGAUCUCUUGGUUCUGGCAUCGAUGAAGAACGCAGCGAAAUGCGAUAAGUAGUGUGAAUUGCAGAAUUCAGUGAAUCAUCGAAUCUUUGAACGCACAUUGCGCCCCUUGGUAUUCCAUGGGGCAUGCCUGUUCGAGCGUCAUUUGUACCUUCAAGCUCUGCUUGGUGUUGGGUGUUUGUCUCGCCUCUGCGUGUAGACUCGCCUUAAAACAAUUGGCAGCCGGCGUAUUGAUUUCGGAGCGCAGUACAUCUCGCGCUUUGCACUCAUAACGACGACGUCCAAAAGUACAUUUUUACACUCUUGACCUCGGAUCAGGUAGGGAUACCCGCUGAACUUAAGCAUAUCA
rnacentral:misc_RNA from 1 species